rnacentral:rRNA from 1 species
UACGUAGGUGGCAAGCGUUGUCCGGAUUUAUUGGGUUUAAAGGGUGCGUAGGCGGCCUGUUAAGUCAGGGGUGAAAGACGGUAGCUCAACUAUCGCAGUGCCCUUGAUACUGAUGGGCUUGAAUGGACUAGAGGUAGGCGGAAUGUGACAAGUAGCGGUGAAAUGCAUAGAUAUGUCACAGAACACCGAUUGCGAAGGCAGCUUACUAUGGUCUUAUUGACGCUGAGGCACGAAAGCGUGGGGAUCAAACAGG